AUUGAACGCUGGCGGCAUGCCUUACACAUGCAAGUCGAACGGCAGCACGGGUGCUUGCACCUGGUGGCGAGUGGCGAACGGGUGAGUAAUACAUCGGAACGUACCUUAUCGUGGGGGAUAACGCAGCGAAAGCUGUGCUAAUACCGCAUACGCCCUGAGGGGGAAAGCGGGGGAUCGCAAGACCUCGCGCGAUUAGAGCGGCCGAUGCCUGAUUAGCUAGUUGGUGAGGUAAAAGCCCACCAAGGCGACGAUCAGUAGCUGGUCUGAGAGGACGAUCAGCCACACUGAGACUGAGACACGGCCCAGACUCCUACGGGAGGCAGCAGUGGGGAAUUUUGGACAAUGGGGGCAACCCUGAUCCAGCAAUGCCGCGUGAGUGAAGAAGGCCUUCGGGUUGUAAAGCUCUUUUGUCAGGGAAGAAACACCGGCUCUAACACAGUCCGGGAAUGACGGUACCUGAAGAAUAAGCACCGGCUAACUACGUGCCAGCCGCCGCCGUAA
rnacentral:rRNA from 1 species